rnacentral:rRNA from 1 species
UACGAAGGGGGCUAGCGUUGCUCGGAAUUACUGGGCGUAAAGGGCGCGUAGGCGGACAGUUUAGUCAGAGGUGAAAGCCCAGGGCUCAACCUUGGAAUUGCCUUUGAUACUGGCUGUCUUGAGUUCGGGAGAGGUGAGUGGAAUGCCGAGUGUAGAGGUGAAAUUCGUAGAUAUUCGGAAGAACACCAGUGGCGAAGGCGGCUCACUGGACCGGUAUUGACGCUGAGGUGCGAAAGCGUGGGGAGCAAACAGG